UACGAGGGGGGCGAGCGUUGUUCGGAAUUACUGGGCGUAAAGCGCACGUAGGCGGCUUUGUAAGUUAGAGGUGAAAGCCCGGGGCUCAACUCCGGAAUUGCCUUUAAGACUGCAUCGCUAGAAUUGUGGAGAGGUAAGUGGAAUUCCGAGUGUAGAGGUGAAAUUCGUAGAUAUUCGGAAGAACACCAGUGGCGAAGGCGACUUACUGGACACAUAUUGACGCUGAGGUGCGAAAGCGUGGGGAGCAAACAGG
rnacentral:rRNA from 1 species